GACGAACGCUGGCGGCGUGCUUAACACAUGCAAGUCGAACGGAAAGGCCCCUUUGGGGGUACUCGAGUGGCGAACGGGUGAGUAACACGUGAGUAACCUGCCCUUGACUUCGGGAUAACUUCAGGAAACUGGGGCUAAUACCGGAUAGGAAUCCUUGCUGCAUGGUGGGGGUUGGAAAGCUUCGGCGGUUUUGGAUGGACUCGCGGCUUAUCAGCUUGUUAGUGGGGUAGUGGCUUACCAAGGCUUUGACGGGUAGCCGGCCUGAGAGGGCGACCGGCCACAUUGGGAAUGGGAUACGGCCCAGACUCCUACGGGAGGCAGCAGGGGGGAAUAUUGCACAAUGGGCGGAAGCCUGAUGCAGCAACGCCGCGUGCGGGAUGACGGCCUUCGGGUUGUAAACCGCUUUCAGCAGGGGCGAAGCUUGUGGUGACGGUACCUGCAGAAGAAGCACCGGCUAACUACGUG
rnacentral:rRNA from 1 species